ACUGGUGCAUUAUAUUUUUUAAUGUACUUAUGCACAUUAUUUAUGUAUAUGCUAUGAGUAUGUAAUCUUUUAUUUGAUUGUUUUAUCUUAGAAAAAUAUUAGACUUAAAAUUUUGUUUAAAAAUGAUGUGUUUUGAUAUGUGACCUAUUUUUAACAUACCAUAAUACAUGAACAUAUCCAUUAUUUGUUUACAAACUGCAUAUUUUCAAAAUAAACCUGUAAGAAAAGACGUACAUGGUUUCGGGCUGGAGGCCACGACAGCUUUGACACUAGCGACAUUCAUUUGCUUGGUGUAGGUCUCGUUAAAACCCCGUACUGUUGUGAAUCAUUAGCAACCAUAUGCACAACAACUACACAUUUGUGCUUACCAACUUACUCUUGGCUAAAACGGAUAUUAGUGCAGAAUGUAUAAUUGAUACAUGUGCAUUUGUCUUUCACAGUUGUAGUUUCUGCCGGUUGAUAAUCAGAAGUCUAAUUUCUUUCAGGUAGGAAAAUGACUGAAUAUUACUAUGUCAACAAAUUGGGGUUAUGAAGAAUUCCAGCCUGCAUUAAAUAUUAUGUUGGAUCAUUGAGACAGAUUUGACAUCCAUAUCAUCCACAAGGCAGUCACAUCUCAUAGAGAUGAUCACUCAACAUUCUAGAUGGGUAAAGUACCUGAAGGGGCAUAAAAACCAAAUCAGCAUUGACUCAGCAUUGAGUAAUUAUCAUCUGUGCACACACUACAAGUACAAACGCAUGGGAACAGACCAAACUUCAAAUGUUGAAGAGUGAAGACUUAUUGUGAAAAAUUCUAAAUGUAAGAAUACCAUUGACAAAAUAAAACAAAUAGACAUCGAUUACCUACAGAGACUAUUUACAUGUUAUAAUAUUAAACAGACAAAUUAGUUGAGAACUUUCACUCUGACAUGUUUGGAGGGGCAUUACCGCCUACAUGUACAUAGUGUUCUUGUUUCUUUACAUAUUUUAAUUUGAAAGUACAUUCAUUGUUUUUUCAAUCUGAAUUCUGAGUUAGUAUCACACGUAAAAUCCAUUUAUUUGAAUGAUUACAUUUUAUGAAUAAGUCCAAUAAAGCUUUAUCAAUUUUUACAAGAAAAGGGUUGAUUUUUAAGCAUUUUAUUAGCUAUAAAAUGUAUGGUUACAUGACAGUAUGUAUAUUUUUUCAAAAGUGAACGGUAAACUACGGGGUAUCAUUAAUUGUCUUUUAAAUUGUUCAUGAGACAUCAUAGAAAAUAUUUAAAAUGAUUUCAGCAGGUUGUCUUAUUAUUAAUUAUUUUUUUUAUGAAUUGAUAAAACUCCUUUAUAUUUUCAAACAUCGAAAUACUGCUCUGUUCAGAAGACUCACAAGAUCUCAAAAUGAUUUUUUGCAUGAGUAUCAAUAAUGCUGUUCGGUUGAACUUAUGUUUUCUGUUAACUGAAGUUUAUUUCACCAGAAACUGUUGUGUUUAUUUCAAGCUCUGAUAAUGAGAAACAAACAUCAAAUAUAGGCAAAAUAUUUACUUGUCGCUCUUUGUAGCCCUUGGAGUUUGGGGUUGGGUGUAAUGAAACUUAAACAACUUUUUUAAUUCACGGUAAAAUAUCUUCAAAAUUUGGAUAAAAGUCCCAUAGUGUAUCUUGAUAAUAACUAUGUUGUCAGUGAAAGCUUUUCUUAAAGUGUGUAUUACUUAAAUACCUUAAUUCAGUUUAAAUAAUUAUGGCCUUUGAUGAUUUUUGUUUUUAUAUAGAUUUUCUGUUAUAUUGAGCUUUGUCAAUUUUGCUGUUGUUUUGUAUUAUGUACAAUUACUACUUCUAUUUCCUAACUUAAAUUUUUUGUCCCAUUUGUCAAAUUGAAUUGGUACAUAUUUCAUAUAAAGUGAAAAACACACACACUAUUUUUAAAGAUGCGCUCUUACUCCCAAACAAGACUGAUCACAAUUAAUAUUAUUGUUUUGAUUUUUCAAAAUGGGUUGAUAGAUGUCAACAACAAUGUUUCUAAUGAAGGAUUUUGAGUUCGAUUUGGUAAUAAGAAUGAAUAUAAAACAUGGUAUUUCUGCCUUGUGAUACCAUAGUAGACCACAGUCAAUAUUUUAGCAAUCACCAAUCAUUUAAUAUUUGUCAUGCUUUCUGCUAUUAUAAACAGGGUCACAAGCUUGUUAUAAAUCAGUAAACAAUUUCAGUAAAUGCAUUAUUUAGUAAGUAGUUAUUGUUUUAUCAGUCAAUUUGAUGUGUGUUAUAAAUACAAUUAUAUGCAGGGCUUCCAUUAAAGUAUAUUACUCCUUAGAAAUGGGUUAAAACUUUCAAAAUUGAUUUCUAGAAAGUACAAAAACUUCCAUAAUUUUGAAGAAAAACACCAAAGUAGAAAGCUUGGAAGUUCAAAAUAUUCAAACCUUGUGUCAAUAUUACUUUUAUGGUCUUAAGAUAAAAUGAUUUAUUAUAAUAUAAGUCUUUGAAUCUGGCAAGUUAAAGUUACAAAUUACUUGAUUUUAACAUUCUAAUUGAAAAAUAGUGGAAAAAGAUACUGUAUUCGGGAGAUUUUAACUUCCACAUAUCAGUGUAAAACUUCCAAAAUUGAUGGACAGGAAGUUGAUACUUCCAGUUUCGAAUUCUUAAUGGAAGCCCUGUUAUAUGUAUUGAUUUCAAAUAAGAGUUUCACUUUAAAGAUGCUCAUUUAAAGAUAAUGAACAGACACACAAAAACUAGACACAUUUGAUACUAAUUAUAUGAAUGAUUAUUGUUUAGGGGACCUCUGAUUUGUUUUGGAGAUAUUCAUAAAUGGGUGUUAUUCUUUGUUGUCUUCAGUUUCUUAUACAUUUAAGGAUUUUUAUAAUUCCUUUUCUGGUAUAUAUUAAUUUAAUGCAAAUGAAAACACACUUUAAAGUAGACACAUUUGAUACUAAUUAUAUAAAUGCACGUACUCUGAUUUGUUAUGAAGAUAUUCAUAAAGGGGUGUUCUUCAUGUUAUUAUACAUUUUGGACUUGAUUUAGUAUUGCUUUUCUGGUAUAUAUUUAUUUUAAUGCACAAAGAAAUUAUUUUAAGUGUUCAGUAUCACUUUCACACAUUGUUUACUAUUAUUUUGUGCAUAUUUGGCCUAUUUAUGCUUAUAUGUGCAUUGUUGUAUUUCAAAACCUUUGUGAAAAAUAGAAACAGUAUUAUUUCUUUCAUGCAUAGUCUGAUACAUAUUCAGUUUGUAUGCAUUAUUUUUAUCAUAUUUAAAAAAAAUGCCAUUGUCCUAUAAGACAUAUGCUAUUUUUGUAUUAAUAUCACUAUCAACUAAAACAUCCAUUUUAAACUCUUCUUUACCAUGUAAAUGGAGAAGUUAACAUUAUAACUCCAUUGACCAGUUUUUAGCUCUACUGGCCAAAGGCCAGAAGAGCUUAUGCGAUGGUAAUGUGUACGUAGAAUGUGCAUCUGUGCGUCCGUGCGUCCGUGCGGUCGUGCGUCUGUAAACAAUUGGUUGUAAACACGAUACAGUCUUCAAUUUUGAUUGUAUCUCGAUGAAACUUGUACAGUAUCUAGAUAUCCAUUAAGAGCUCGGUUCCUUUAGAAAACCAGCCAGAUCCGCCCAUAAAUGCCUAGAUUAUGGGCCAUGAAAAUUUUAAAGAGAUGCUUUCUAUUUUUAGCCAGGUCUGCAUGAGCGAAUUCUAUUUUUAGCCAAGUUUACAUGUACAUGUAAAUUCAAGUCUAGAGUUAAGGGAGACAAUUUGCAAGUCUAGGAUUUGAGAGACAAUUUGCUAUUGCUUCUGCAGUUGAUUUUGUGAAUUACUCUGCCUUGUUCUUGUUGAAAGCCCAAAGGCCAUUUUUAGCUUUAAGUUCUUUAGUUUGCGCAUUCAUUUUAACAAAAUUGGUUGUGAAUGUUUAAGUUAUGCACCUGGUGUUAUUACUGGCCACACCCAGGGUUCACAGGUUUGGUAAACAUAAAUCUGGAAAGGUUUGAAAAUCUUUUUGUGUGUUGUGCAUCCAUCUCAGCACAAUUGAUUGUGAAUGUUUGUUCAAAUUGAUCAAUGUUGUCCUAGGAUGCCCUUGACUUUGACCUUUUGACCAACUAUUUAACUUUUAAAACUACAUAAUUUUUUACUAUGAGUACAGUUUUGAAAGCAUUGUUUUGUCAGAUGACUUUUACUUGGCACAUAUUAAAAUAGUUCAUGCAACUUAUCUGCUUACAAUACUUUCUGGGCUCAGAUGUUGAACGUGCUACGUUUUCAGGUAACCCAAACACAAAACAUAAACUAUAUGUCUGUUGCCUUUUACCCAUACAUACAUGCUGUAGAUUUAUAUGACCACAAAAGCCAUGCCAGUAGAGCAUAGGCCCUUUUGGGCCUCUGGUUUAUGCAAUUUGUCCAAUUUCAUACAUUUUAGUAUUAUUAAACAGCUAAAAACAA